rnacentral:rRNA from 1 species
UACGUAGGGUGCGAGCGUUAAUCGGAAUUACUGGGCGUAAAGCGUGCGCAGGCGGUGAUGUAAGACAGUUGUGAAAUCCCCGGGCUCAACCUGGGAACUGCAUCUGUGACUGCAUCGCUGGAGUGCGGCAGAGGGGGAUGGAAUUCCGCGUGUAGCAGUGAAAUGCGUAGAUAUGCGGAGGAACACCGAUGGCGAAGGCAAUCCCCUGGGCCUGCCACUGACGCUCAUGCACGAAGCGUGGGAGC